GCUGAAUUUUUCAUGGCUUGCAAUUGAUUUUAGUUGUAAUAUUUUUUGGUGAAACCCCAGCCUGUACAGCAAAGCUGAAGCAACAGAAAUAAACCACAUCUGUUCCUUCAGUGUUAUUCUUUAGUAAUCAGCAACUCUUUUAAGGUUAUUUAUUUUGUUUACUUUGAAAACAGAUUUUCCAGAAGACAGUACAGGAGACCUAUUUUGUUACCAUGCAUAUUUUUGUGAAAGAAUACAAAACAACAGAAAAAGCCAUCCACAUCAAAUUAUGAAUAAAAGGUAUUAGGAAACUUUGUUGGCCCCAAAGAAAACAGUUGACUCUAGUUGAGAUAUUUUCAAUAUAUUUGGACAUACUGUCAAACCUGCUGUAAAGUUCAACCCUAUUUAGUAAAUUGCUUUGACAGUCUUUAAACCUAUCAGCCCAAGUUUUUAAUAUUGCUUUUGGGCCUGUAAAAAUCUUCUACACAAGAAACCAGCAAAUUUUACGAAAAUUGAGCUUCAGGUCUGUGAGAUUCAAAAGUUUAUCAUGAAGACUGCAGUGUCUUACCAG
rnacentral:lncRNA from 1 species